rnacentral:rRNA from 1 species
GAUGAACGCUAGCUACAGGCUUAACACAUGCAAGUCGAGGGGAAACGAUAGAGAAAGCUUGCUUUUUCUAGGCGUCGACCGGCGCACGGGUGAGUAACGCGUAUCCAACCUGCCCACCACUUGGGGAUAACCUUGCGAAAGUAAGACUAAUACCCAAUGAUAUCUCAAGAAGACAUCUGAAUGAGAUUAAAGAUUUAUCGGUGAUGGAUGGUGAUGCGUCUGAUUAGCUUGUUGGCGGGGUAACGGCCCACCAAGGCGACGAUCAGUAGGGGUUCUGAGAGGAAGGUCCCCCACAUUGGAACUGAGACACGGUCCAAACUCCUACGGGAGGCAGCAGUGAGGAAUAUUGGUCAAUGGGCGAGAGCCUGAACCAGCCAAGUAGCGUGCAGGAUGACGGCCCAAUGGGUUGUAAACUGCUUUUAUAAGGGAAUAAAGUGAGUCUCGUGAGGCUUUUUGCAUGUACCUUAUGAAUAAGGACCGGCUAAUUCCGUGCCAGCAGCCGCCGCCGUAA